rnacentral:lncRNA from 1 species
AUAUUUCAUUACAUUUUUUAAUUCCAUUUACUUUACAUCAAGUUUUACGAUAUAUAUCAUUACAUUUUUUAGUAAGAAUAUUAAUCUUGUAACAGUUGCGUGGUUGAUUCUUUUCAUGUGAUUCAAGUAACAUCAAAAUAGUGUUGAUAUUUGUUGCUAUAUAUUGGCUUAAGAUUAUGGCUGUUGCUGGAGUGUGAUGCAGCUAUGUGUUGUGAGAUGUAAGGGGUGUAUGGAGGAAAACCAUAUUGCAUGUAAUUGUGAAAUCUUCAAUGAUGAAGAGGUGUGGGCAAAUCAAAUCAUGCAGCUAUUCUCGGUGAGCCCCCCCUUGUAUGGUGAGAUGCAUGGGGGAUUCGACAAAUUUUUUCAUGGUUGAACGCCUUUCAAUUUGACUAACGUGAGAGAUUGGCAAGGUUCAACUUUGAAAAGCCAACCAACAGAGUUGGUCUUACAUUCAUGGAGUUGUAUCCGAUAGGGCCUUUUAUUGUUGUACUGAUAGUCGAUCAUUGCAUUACUUGAUAGCAUUUCCAUAUGUUGUCCCUGUGUUGCGGUGCCAUAGGGGGGUGUGUCUACGAUCUUGGUAGUUUAAAAUAUUUGUUUUUUUAUUUAGAAAUGUAUUAAAAUAAAAUUUUAAUAUCAGCAUGUAAAAAUAAUUUGAAAAUAUAAAAAAAUAAAUAUCAAAA